rnacentral:rRNA from 1 species
UUCGCAAUGCCCGAAAGGGUGACGAAGCGACGCCGCGUGAGCGAAGAAGGCCUUAGGGUUGUAAAGCUCUGUCGAGGGUUAUGAAACGUAGAUGAGUUAAUACCUCAUUUAUUUGACAAAGGCCCCAAAGGAAGUCACGGCUAACUCUGUGCCAGCAGCCGCGGUAAUACAGAGGUGGCAAGCGUUGUUCGGUAUUAUUGGGCGUAAAGAGCACGUAGGUGGUUUUGUAAGUCAGGUGUGAAAGCCUUCUGUUCAAAGGAAGAACGGCAUCUGAAACUACAGAUCUUGAGUGUAGGAGGGGAGAGUGGAACUUCUGGUGGAGCGGUGAAAUGCGUAGAUAUCAGAAGGAACGUCGGCGGCGAAAGCGACUCUCUGGCCUAUUACUGACACUGAGGUGCGAAAGUUAGGGGAGCAAACGGGAUUAGAUACCCCGGUAGUCCUAACCGUAAACGAUGGGCACUAAGUAGAGGGGUUUU